AGAGUUUGAUCCUGGCUCAGGAUGAACGCUGGCGGCGUGCCUAAUACAUGCAAGUCGAGCGAACUGAUUAGAAGCUUGCUUCUAUGACGUUAGCGGCGGACGGGUGAGUAACACGUGGGCAACCUGCCUGUAAGACUGGGAUAACUUCGGGAAACCGAAGCUAAUACCGGAUAGGAUCUUCUCCUUCAUGGGAGAUGAUUGAAAGAUGGUUUCGGCUAUCACUUACAGAUGGGCCCGCGGUGCAUUAGCUAGUUGGUGAGGUAGCGGCUCACCAAGGCAACGAUGCAAAGCCGACCUGAGAGGGUGAUCGGCCACACUGGGACUGAGACACGGCCCAGACUCCUACGGGAGGCAGCAGUAGGGAAUCUUCCGCAAUGGACGAAAGUCUGACGGAGCAACGCCGCGUGAGUGAUGAAGGCUUUCGGGUCGUAAAACUCUGUUGUUAGGGAAGAACAAGUACGAGAGUAACUGCUCGUACCUUGACGGUACCUAACCAGAAAGCCACGGCUAACUAUAUGCCAGCAGCCGCGGUAAUACGUAGGUGGCAAGCGUUAUCCGGAAUUAUUGGGCGUAAAGCGCGCGCAGGCGGUUUCUUAAGUCUGAUGUGAAAGCCCACGGCUCAACCGUGGAGGGUCAUUGGAAACUGGGGAACUUGAGUGCAGAAGAGAAAAGCGGAAUUCCACGUGUAGCGGUGAAAUGCGUAGAGAUGUGGAGGAACACCAGUGGCGAAGGCGGCUUUUUGGUCUGUAACUGACGCUGAGGCGCGAAAGCGUGGGGAGCAAACAGGACGAGAUACCCUGGUAGUCCACGCCGUAAACGAUGAGUGCUAAGUGUUAGAGGGUUUCCGCCCUUUAGUGCUGCAGCUAACGCAUUAAGCACUCCGCCUGGGGAGUACGGUCGCAAGACUGAAACUCAAAGGAAUUGACGGGGGCCCGCACAAGCGGUGGAGCAUGUGGUUAAUUUCGAAGCAACGCGAAGAACCUUACCAGGUCUUGACAUCCUCUGACAACUCUAGAGAUAGAGCGUUCCCCUUCGGGGGACAGAGUGACAGGUGGUGCAUGGUUGUCAGCAGCUCGUGUCGUGAGAUGUUGGGUUAAGUCCCGCAACGAGCGCAACCCUUGAUCUUAGUUGCCAGCAUUUAGUUGGGCACUCUAAGGUGACUGCCGGUGACAAACCGGAGGAAGGUGGGGAUGACGUCAAAUCAUCAUGCCCCUUAUGACCUGGGCUACACACGUGCUACAAUGGAUGGUACAAAGGGCUGCAAGACCGCGAGGUCAAGCCAAUCCCAUAAAACCAUUCUCAGUUCGGAUUGUAGGCUGCAACUCGCCUACAUGAAGCUGGAAUCGCUAGUAAUCGCGGAUCAGCAUGCCGCGGUGAAUACGUUCCCGGGCCUUGUACACACCGCCCGUCACACCACGAGAGUUUGUAACACCCGAAGUCGGUGGAGUAACCGUAAGGAGCUAGCCGCCUAAGGUGGGACAGAUGAUUGGGGUGAAGUCGUAACAAGGUAGCCGUA
rnacentral:rRNA from 2 species